rnacentral:lncRNA from 1 species
AAAAAAAAGAACAAAAAAAAAAAGGAGUGUUUACUUGAGGUUGAAGUCAGAGGCAGCUAAUCCCAAAAAUGUAUUUAAGUAAAACAGUGUACAACAUCAGUAUUAAAAUGUUAUAUCCCAUUGGUGACUUUGCCACGUUGGAGUUUUCUGAACAAGUUUUACUGAGCAAAAGACGAUGAAAGAUUAUGUGUUUACUGUCUCUCCAGGAAUGUAAAGGUCUAAUUAUCCAAACAGGUUUUCUUGUUAUUAUAAAACUAAACUCUGGAGGUGUCUACAGAGUCGGGUUUUUUUUCCUUUAAAUCAGUAGUCUAACAAGGAUUAGAAAAGACAAAACUCUGUUCAGUGUCUCUGACGAAGUAGAAAGGGUGAAAACAUAAAUAAGGCUUUAAUUUGGCAAAAUAUAAUACAAUGCCUUCUGCUAUCCUCAGAUCAGCGAUUCCCCCGUGACUUCAUUCUACUAGCUGGUAAUGUUCUCGUCCCUUUGACAGCAUUUGGCUUACUGACACGAGCAGCUUCUUGAGAUGACCUACAUCCUGGUUAAGAUUCACCGCCACAUUUAGUCUUUUAU